GACGAACGCUGGCGGCGUGCUUAACACAUGCAAGUCGAACGAAGUGGCGAACGGGUGAGUACCGCGUAAUCAACCUGCCCUUCAGUGGGGGACAACAGUUGGAAUCGACUGCUAAUACCGCAUACUGAAGGCGGGGCUUGCGUCUGAUUAGCUAGUUGGAGGGGUAACGGCCCACCACGGCGAUGAGCAGUAGCCGGUCUGAGAGGAUGAACGGCCACAUUGGGACUGAGACACGGCACAGACUCCUACGGGAGGCAGAAGUGGGGAAUCUGCCGCAAUGGACGAAAGUCUGACGGAGCAACGCCGCGUGAGUGAUGACGGCCUUCGGGUUGUAAAGCUCUGAUAAUCGGGACGCGGUACCGGAAUAGAAAGCCACGGCUAACUACGGGCCAGCAGCCGCGGUAAUAC
rnacentral:rRNA from 1 species